rnacentral:lncRNA from 7 species
GAGAUAGCAGCAAAUGGUCGUACUCAGUUGAUAACUUCCUCUCAGGCGGUACUGCCCUGAUGUCUUCACAGAGAGGUGAAAAUGUUUGAUGCAAGGGUAGAUGUUGAAUGUGCCCCAUUCAUGAGGUAGCUGAAGAAGAAAGAACCUGACUGCAGGCACGAUUACAUUCCAUUGAAUGCUAUCAAGCUACAUCAUGGGAAUGUGCAGUUGGUUUCUUCUCCCUUCAGUUCUGCUAGAAAGCUGAUUGUCAUGGACACUCUGCACGAAAUUACUAUGCAUACAGUGCACAGCAUGCAGCACCCCAUUAGAAGUGGUGGAGAAUCAUCCCCAAGGGAUGCAGUGGCAACCUGGCAGUCAACAUUACACUGUCUCACUGCUUUGUUUCUUGAUGCUUAGCUUGAUUAGAUGUGGUGAAUGUUACUGAAUAAUAUCUGUUCCUGGUGUAGCAGCUGCAUUUGUGAGAGAAAAACUGUUCCCCUUGCACUGUGAUCUAAAGAUGCACAUGGGCAUUUAGAGGGCACCUUGGCUUUUUAUGAAGGAGGAGAAAAAACAGAAGAAUUUCAAACUGCAGUCUGUUUUGCUCGAUUUUGUUUAGGAAUGGCAACUACCUCCAAGAUAAUGAAACUGAUUUAACUGCUGUUUGUUUAUUUUACAAAGAUUGAAAAUGUCAUGGUUCUAGGUCCUCUUUUGUAUAGAAUUAUCUGAGACUCACUGGAACCCCAAUGAGUUGAGGAGCAGAGAAAUGUGACAGCAAUUAUAUUCUUAAGAGUUUGGGCAAGAAGCCUUAAUGCACAUUUACAGAAGAAAUGUGAUGACUGGUUCUUUCCCCCUUUCCACUGACAUGAAAUUAAGACCUUCGGAAAUUUCUCAUGGUAAAGCUUAGAAGAGUUCCCAGGCACUGAGAGGUACACACUUUAAAGAUAGGAAUUGUGAGAUAUAUAGAUUUGUCUCCUUGUUUUCCUUUGUUCAGCUUAUUUCCCAUAACACUGGUGAGUGCCUCAUCACUCCACUGACAUAUCUUUCUUCUCUGACUUGUCCAAAAAUGCCAGCCUGAACCCAAUGUACUAGCUAACAGGCUGAAGUAGAAAAAACUGCUGUUUCUUUCUCAUUACUACUGAUCCAGCUUAAGUUAGUACAAUAUUGUGUAGAACUCAAGAACAUUGAGAACUUUGAUUUUUAGACCAGCUUGGUUGCAUGCGUGUUUGACUAGACAAAUUCAAAUGCUUUAGUAAAAACUUUGAGAAGUGCUUCCUUUUUCUGUAUUAAAUCUUCACUUACUUUAACAAAGAAAUGCCCAUAAGAAUGGAAAUACUAAUAGAACUUUGCCAACUUGUGGAAACUUUUAAUUGGCUUUGGUUUUAAGUCUGAGAAUAAGCCCUGACUUAGUUUUGAUUUUCUCCAAAUACACUUGCUUAACCUAAUAAUACAUUAAUUUGUUUUCAAAGAGUAUUUUCCUCUAUCCUUUUUCUGAAGAGUGUCUUUAACUGCUCAUGCUCUUAUUAUAUGGCUUUAAUUCCAAAUUGUUCUGCUUUCAGCUAAAUUUUGUCUUUAAAUCAUACUGUUCACCUGCUUUUCCUAAGAUCUCAAAUUACUGAUUUUCUUUAUUUGCCUACAUUCUGCUAUUUAGAGAUGCAAUAUUUGGUUGCUUGCUGAUUUUAAAUCCAAAUCCUGACCGAAAAUGAUUUUGUUUGUAAGGCAGCAGUGGGAACAACUGCUCUUGACAUGUGAGCAUCUUCUGAUGACAUAACCAGCUACCAAUAAUAGAAACUGCUCUUUGGGCCCUCAUUGUGAGCCAUGUGAUGCUACCACUACAUUGCCAAGUCAAACACUGUAAUUCCACUCACUGAGUACUAUUCCCCAGGGAGGGAGCAAGUGAGCAAGACUAUUCUUGAGUACUGAGUUACUUCUGAAUAUCAUGCUGUAAUACAGUCAACUUUAGUGGUGGAUGUUUUUUCUGAAUUGUUGGUCAGACCCAAGAUUAACAGGAAGAAUUUUAAUAUGCUAUUUUGGUUGUUGUCGUUUAAUAGAAAACAUUUUACAUUUUGGUGAAGCAUUUAGGAAGGGUUUGAUUUGUAAAAAAUAAAGGAAAGAGUU